rnacentral:lncRNA from 1 species
CCAUGCAUGGUCGUCCAUGGAUCAUAUCAUGGCUUUCACGGGGAGAUGGAUCGGAGUACGUGCUUAACCAUGAUCAUCAGUACACGUAUCUCGGAGAGGGUCGUACGUCGGCGGUAUUCCGGUGAUGGCCGCGGCCGGCCGGGCGAUUAGUAGCUGUAGUUCUUGACGAACAUGCCCUCCUUGGCCUCGGCGGCCUCGCCGUCGGAGGUGUACUUGCCGAGCUGCGCCAGGGAGUUAGCCUUGGCGCGGAGCAGCAGCGCGUCCUGCGCCGCCGUCACCUUCUCCGGCUGGCCGCCCCAGGUCUUGAGGCAGGUGUUCUGCAGCGCGCGGGCGUAGGAGAAGGACACGUGCCACGGGUUGGUGCCCUGGUUCAUGGCGUUGAGGUUCUGCGUCGCCUCCACCUCCGACUGGCCUCCCGAGAGGAACAUGAUCCCCGGCACGGACGGCGGGAUCCGGCGGUGCAGGAGCUUCAGCGUGUACUCCGCCACCUGCUCCGGCGUCGCCCUGUCCUUGGCCUCCGCCCCCGGCGUCACCAUGGAUGGCUUCAGUAGGAUGCCCUCGAACAUCACGUUGUUCUCCGCCAUCGCGUAGAACGUCUCCGCCCACACCUUCUGCGCCACCUCGAACGUCCGCUCGAUCCCGUGCUC